ACAUUCACUCUUGACAUAACGUUCACUGCAGAUCUUCAAAAUCCUUUAUCGGCUGCUUUCCUAUUACUUGCUUUAAAGAUUCAAGAUGAGCUUAAUUUCAUAUUUAGAGCAAAAUACAGCAGCCGCUACAGCCAUAGCAAAGUCAACAGCUUUCAGAGAGGAUCUGUUAAAGUAAAUGCAUCACUCUUCUUUGUUGACACGCUUCCUCCUAAUCCGGAGGUAGAAAGUGCUCUAAUUUCUGGCUGGGUAAAUGUCAACAGUAGCUUGCCUCUAGUAAGCGGCAGUGUUGUUGUUGGACAAGCUAUCCAAACUAGCAGCUCUCCGAGGGAAGUGCAGACGUCUUCUACAGUGACCCUCCUUCUCACAUGUGUACUUUUAAUAUUACAAACUCUUUCAUUAAUAUAGACCACAGGGUGUUUUAGCCCCAUAGAUGACCAAAAUCCAGAUGGAGAUUAUAACUGAGCAUACCCUACUUAAAUACAAAUAGUGAUAAAGAAGUCCUAAUUGUUUUUAAUCUCUUAUGGAAGUUUAUAUGUAUAAUAGCCGAAUGUGUGUGCUGGUUUAUGAAUUUGAACAUUAUUUAAUGAAGAGAUAAAUGGGUGAAGGCAUAACUAGCAAAAGAUUUCAUACUUACCUGAGUGUGAACUCUUAAUUCUUGCCCUGUAAUGUCUAUCAGAAAGAUUUCAGGGAUCAUUAAGUCUGUAUCUUUUGUUUUUGUUUUCUUCUUUGUAAUAUGCCGAGUUUAGCCUUGUCAUUGUUUAUUAUCUGCUCUUUUAACUCUAUUAACUCUUUUGCCUCAUUGUAUGCAUGAUUCAGCAAUUACAUUAAAAACUCACAGCUCUUGUUUCAUAUUCCUGUGGUGUAUAGUAGGACAUAAUAGUUAGGCAGGUGUGGCCAUCAUAUACAGGUAGGUGUAUUGUUAUGUUUUAGGUGAUGUUACACUGUGUAAUCAUUACC